UCUAUGAUUAUUCACCCAUCUGUCUGUUUUUUUAUAGGGAAUUUUUAUGACAUUUGACAAAAACAAGAACCAGGCACUGGAGUAUCUAGAAAUCCCACCAGCUCUGACAGCAGCAGGCAUACGGGUGGAGGAA